AAAUAGUCUCUGAUUCCUCAAUUCUAGCCACACAAACAAUUUAAAACCACAAGAGAAAAUACACUUAUCCAAACAAAAUGAAGAAAACUUCUUUGCUAUUCAUCAUCGGUCUAUUGCUAUUCUCAACAUAUACUCAAAUUUUGGCACGACGGUCUUGCAAGAGUGUCAGUGAUUGUAACCAACUGAAAUGUGAAAAGCGCAAGUGUGUGCAGAACAAGUGUAUAUGUGUUGCCGAAAGAAAUGUGGUUUUACCCCCUUCUAAUAAUAAUGAACAAGCUUGCUUUGACUAUUGCAAAUCUAUAGGCGAAGAAGUUCGUGUUUGGACAACGGAAGGCUGUUGGUGUCAGAAACCUCCAAUGUAAUAUUAACAAGUUUAAACAUAAAAAGAUUAUAAAAUAUGCAAAAAAUUAUAUUUUAUUUUUAUUUUUAUCCAUAGCAAAAUAAUAUUUCUUAUAAAA